AUUGAACGCUGGCGGCAGGCCUAACACAUACAAGUCGAACGGUAACAGGAAGAAGCUUGCUUCUUUGCUGACGAGUGGCGGACGGGUGAGUAAUGUCUGGGAAACUGCCUGAUGGAGGGGGAUAACUACUGGAAACGGUAGCUAAUACCGCAUAACGUCGCAAGACCAAAGAGGGGGACCUUCGGGCCUCUUGCCAUCGGAUGUGCCCAGAUGGGAUUAGCUAGUAGGUGGGGUAACGGCCCACCUAGGCGACGAUCCCUAGCUGGUCUGAGAGGAUGACCAGCCACACUGGAACUGAGACACGGUCCAGACUCCUACGGGAGGCAGCAGUGGGGAAUAUUGCACAAUGGGCGCAAGCCUGAUGCAGCCAUGCCGCGUGUAUGAAGAAGGCCUUCGGGUUGUAAAGUACUUUCAGCGGGGAGGAAGGGAGUAAAGUUAAUACCUUUGCUCAUUGACGUUACCCGCAGAAGAAGCACCGGCUAACUCCGUG
rnacentral:rRNA from 1 species